UACGUAGGUGGCAAGCGUUGUCCGGAAUUAUUGGGCGUAAAGCGCGCGCAGGCGGUCCUUUAAGUCUGAUGUGAAAGCCCACGGCUCAACCGUGGAGGGUCAUUGGAAACUGGGGGACUUGAGUGCAGGAGCGAAGAGUGGAAUUCCACGUGUAGCGGUGAAAUGCGUAGAUAUCUGCAGGAACACCCGUGGCGAAGGCGGGUCUCUGGGCCGAUA
rnacentral:rRNA from 1 species